GACGAACGCUGGCGGCGUGCUUAACACAUGCAAGUCGAACGGAAAGGCCCUGCUUUUGUGGGGUGCUCGAGUGGCGAACGGGUGAGUAACACGUGAGUAACCUGCCCUUGACUUUGGGAUAACUUCAGGAAACUGGGGCUAAUACCGGAUAGGAGCGCCUGCUGCAUGGUGGGGGUUGGAAAGUUUCGGCGGUUUGGGAUGGACUCGCGGCUUAUCAGCUUGUUGGUGGGGGAGUGGCUUACCAAGGCCUUGACGGGUAGCCCGCCUGAGAGGGUGACCGGCCCCCUUGGGACUGAGAUACGGCCCAGACUCCUACGGGAGGCAGCAGUGGGGAAUAUUGCACAAUGGGCGGAAGCCUGAUGCAGCAACGCCGCGUGCGGGAUGACGGCCUUCGGGUUGUAAACCGCUUUCGCCUGUGACGAAGCGUGAGUGACGGUAAUGGGUAAAGAAGCACCGGCUAACUACGUG
rnacentral:rRNA from 1 species